UACAGGGGGGGCAAGCGUUGUUCGGAAUUACUGGGCGUAAAGGGCGUGUAGGCGGCCAACUAAGUCCGACGUGAAAUCCCCAGGCUUAACCUGGGAACUGCGUCGGAUACUGGAUGGCUUGAAUCCGGGAGAGGAAUGCGGAAUUCCAGGUGUAGCGGUGAAAUGCGUAGAUAUCUGGAGGAACACCGGUGGCGAAGGCGGCAUUCUGGACCGGCAUUGACGCUGAAGCGCGAAAGCCAGGGGAGCAAACGGGAUUAGAUACCCCGGUAGUCCUGGCCCUAAACGAUGAAUGUUUGGUGUGGCGGGUAUCGAUCCCUGCCGUGCCGAAGCUAACGCAUUAAACAUUCCGCCUGGGGAGUACGGUCGCAAGGCUGAA
rnacentral:rRNA from 1 species